UGACGGCCAUAUCACGUUGAAAAAUUGGUUACCGUACGAUCUCCGAAGUUAAGCAACGUCGAGCUUGGUCAGUACCUAAAUAGGUGACCGAUUGGGAAUACUAGGUUCUGCAAG